rnacentral:lncRNA from 1 species
UUAAAGAGUUCCCUUUUUGACAUACAAUUUUGAUUGAAUUAUUUGUAUGUAGAUUACUCUAAAGGUGUGUUUGGUUCGCACUAUGAAAGAUUACUUAGAGUAAAAUGAUAUACAAGAAUCUUACUUCUAUUCAUUCUAUUACUAGAAAUAUAGUAUUUCAGUGUUUGAUUCAUACGGUCAUAUUAUUUAGUCAAUAUUAUUUAAGAUUACGAAAAAUAUAUAAUUAAUUAAUUAAUUUUUUUAAUUAAUUUUAAAUAAUACUAUAAAAAAAUUUCAACAUCUUUUUAGAAAAAAGAGAGAGAGAAUAUAGAUUAGAAAGAGAGAGAGCAUAAUUAAAGAAAUAGAAAGAGAAAUAGAGUCGAGAUUAGAGAGAAUGAGAGGGUUGAGAUUUUAGAAAAAGAGGGGAGAAAUAGCUUAGUUUAGAAAGAGAAAAAGAGUUGAAGUUUAGAGAGAAAAAGAUAAGUUUAGAGAGAGAUAUGAGGUUUAGAAUGUAUAGAAAAAUAAUACAAACUAGCCGGCGGGUAGGAAGAAAGAAAGAGAUUAGACAUAUUAUAAUUAUCCCAAUUCAUUAAUAUAAGGAUACCCACUCUCACUCAGAGGAAUGAGAUUAGUACUUUGGGAUGCAUCUCAUUCCCAAGUAAAUUAAAUAUUACCAACUAGAUUACUUAGUUUAUUUAGCCAAACAUCGUCAUAAUUUUUUAUUUUUAUUAGAUUAUUAGAAAUCUUAAAAAAAUAGCGCAAACCAAAUGCACCCCAAGGUUCAUCCAUAUAUCUAAGUAUAUUUUAAUUGUGACGUGCUGAAAGAAAGUUAUUAAGAAUAAUCAUUAAAGAGGGGGACUAUCUUUUGGAAUAACUAAUUGGAAUCGCUAUCUAAGUGGAGUGAUUACAAAAGUACAUGCGGUAUGCUUUUGCAGAUGUAUAAGUUUGCACUUUACAGGUCGUUGGUGUCAUUAAAUUUUCAAUCUUCAGACGAAAAGAUGUGCGGCUAAGAUAAUAGAGGUUCCUCGGGGUUGAGUGGAUGGUUGGUUUAUAUAGUAUUUUUGUUCAUUUUGAUCGUUGGAUAAUCUAGUCCUUUUUUCGGGUUUAUCUAGAUGGCGAGAAACUGUUUUUCUUUUUCUAGAUCUUUUGUUCGACUUAUUGAUUGCAUUGUUCAAGUUGUACUUUUUUUGCUCAUUUGUAUAUAGCCAAUUAUGCUUCUGAUCCUAUCAAUGGUAUAAUAGCUCUUUGUACUCUCUGUGUUUUAUAUCUGUAUGUAUGUAUGUAUGUGUGUUUAUGUAUGAUAGUGGUCGCGGGUUAGUUUUCUAGCGGUCCCCUUUGGUUGAUUUUGUGUCGUUGGUUUAUACUAUUAAACCAAUAACUCAUUCAACCCUAGGGUGGCCACAUGAUCUUAACCGGUAGAUUUUUUCAUCCAAUGGUCGAAAACUUAAUAGUACCAAUGGUUUGGUGCUAUUGAUUGUAUUGUAGCCGGACUAUAUAUAUUUAUAUAUAUAUAUAUACUGGUAUACUACCGGUAGCACGGAGACCUCCGUGCUACCAAGUUGUUUUCAAUGAUGCGGCUUACAAAUCGACGAUCGGCUCCGUUAGACUUGAUCUACACUAUUGAAAGCAUUUAGAAACUAAAUUUCAUAAUUUUUCGGCAUCAUUUACGUAUCAAACGAGUAGUCUAAAAAUGAACGGCUGAAAAUAAAAAUCUUAUAAAAAAUGAUGAUAAAAGACUUGAAUUUAAAAUCAGAGGUGCUGAUCUUACUCUAAAUAAUGAAAAGAAUUUUCUAUAAAAAUUUCAUCAUAUUUGACUUGUUUUACACCGUUAAAUUCACAAAUGUAUCACAUCUACCAUUAAAAUUGUCAAUUUUGAGACCUUUUGAUCACUAGCCAAAUAAUGUCGAAAAAUUAUGAAAUUUAGUUUCCAAACACUAUUAAUAGUGUAGAUCAAGUCUAACGGAGCCGAUCGUCGAUUUGGAAGCCGCAUCAUUGAAAACAACUUGGUAGCACGGUGGCCUCUGUGCUACCGAUAGUAUACCAGCCUAACUCUACAUAUAAAUAUAUAUAGUUCGGCUGGAAUACAAUCAAUAGCACCAAACUAUUGGUGCUAUUAGGUUUUUGGCCUUUGGAUGAAAAAAUGUACGGUUAAGAUGAUGUGGGCCCCCUAGGGUUGAAUGAGUUAUUGGUUUAAUAGUAUAAUCUAACGAGUGAAAAUAGUCAAAGGGUUUCGUUAGAAAACUCUCUCUCUCUCUCUUUUAUAUAUAUAUAUAUAUAUAUAUAUAUAUAUAUAUAUAAAAGAGAGAGAGAGAGAGAGUUAUUAUCCCAUGUGGAUCAGAAUUAUUAUUGGGUUUAUACCAAUGAGCAAAAAAAGUACAACUUGAACAAUGAAUUAAUAAGUCGAACAAAAGCUCUAGAAAAAGAAAAAGGGUUUCUUGCUCUAGAUAUGCUCGAAAAAAGGACUAGAUUAUGCAAUGAUGAAAAUGAACAAAAAUACUAUAUAUAUAUAUAUAGAGAGAGAGAGAGUUGAGCUGGAAUACUAUCGGUAGCAAACUGGCUCCGUUGCCACCCAUUUGUUUUCGAUAAUAGAGCCUUCAAAUCGACGAUCGGCACCGUUGAAAAUGAUCUAUACCACUUUAAAUAUUUAGAAAUCAAAUUUCAUACUUUUUCGAUAUUGUUUUCUUGUCCAUCAAGUGGGCGUAAAAAUGAAUGGCUGAAAAUGAAUAUUCUCUAAAAAGUGAUGAUAAAAAUUUUAUAAUCAUGAUCGAGAGUAUAGAUCUUGUUCUAAGUAGUUUAAAGAAUUUUCCAACCAAAAUUCAAUUGAUUUGGAUAGCUUUACACCGUUAAACGAGAAAACCCCUCAUAUCAACCAUUAAAAUUACUAAUUUUGAAACCCUUUGAUCAUUAGGUAAAUGAUGUCGAAAAGAUUUGAAAUUUGAUUUCUAGAUACGUCAAGUGAUAUAGAUCAUGUUCAACGGUGUUGAUCGUCGAUUUGAAAGCUCCAUCAUCGAAAACAAAUGGGUGGCAACGGAGCCCGUUUGCUACCGAUAGCAUUCCAGCUCAACUAUAUAUAUAUAUAUAUAUAUAUAUAUAUAUAUAUAUCAAUAGUACAAAGCCCUUGGUACUAUUGAGUUUUUAGCCGUUGGAUGAAAGGAUGUGCGGUUAGGAUGAUAGUGGUCCCCGGUUAAAUUGAUAGCGGUCCCCUAGGGUCAAGGGCCAAAAAUUUAAUACCACCAAUAACUUGGUAUUGUUGAGAGAGAGAGAGAGAGAGAGAGAGUCCGGCUGGGAUACUAUCGAUAGCACCAAGUAUUUGGUGCUAUCGAGUUUCCGCCGUAAGAUUUAACCCUUUAAUUAUUUUUACCCGUUAGAUUAUACUAUAUAUUUAACUAACUACUCACUCAACCCUAGAGGGCCCACAUCAUCCUAACCACACAUUUCUCAAUCUAAGGGCUAAAAAAUUAAUAGCACAAAUAGCUCGGUGCUAUUUUUAGUAUUCCAGCUUAGUNUUCAUACGGUCAUAUUAUUUAGUCAAUAUUAUUUAAGAUUACGAAAAAUAUAUAAUUAAUUAAUUAAUUUUUUUAAUUAAUUUUAAAUAAUACUAUAAAAAAAUUUCAACAUUUUUUUAGAAAAAAGAGAAAGAGAAUAUAGAUUAGAAAAAGAGAGCAUAAUUAAAGAAAUAGAAAGAGAAAUAGAGUCGAGAUUAGAGAGAAUGAGAGGGUUGAGAUUUUAGAAAAAGAGGGGAGAAAUAGCUUAGUUUAGAAAGAGAAAAAGAGUUGAAGUUUAGAGAGAAAAAGAUAAGUUUAGAGAGAGAUAUGAGGUUUAGAAUGUAUAGAAAAAUAAUACAAACUAGCCGGCGGGUAGGAAGAAAGAAAGAGAUUAGACAUAUUAUAAUUAUCCCAAUUCAUUAAUAUAAGGAUACCCACUCUCACUCAGAGGAAUGAGAUUAGUACUUUGGGAUGCAUCUCAUUCCCAAGUAAAUUAAAUAUUACCAACUAGAUUACUUAGUUUAUUUAGCCAAACAUCGUCAUAAUUUUUUAUUUUUAUUAGAUUAUUAGAAAUCUUAAAAAAAUAGCGCAAACCAAAUGCACCCCAAGGUUCAUCCAUAUAUCUAA